UACGUAGGGUCCGAGCGUUGUCCGGAAUUACUGGGCGUAAAGAGCUCGUAGGUGGUUUGUCGCGUUGUUCGUGAAAACUCACAGCUCAACUGUGGGCGUGCGGGCGAUACGGGCAGACUGGAGUACUGCAGGGGAGACUGGAAUUCCUGGUGUAGCGGUGGAAUGCGCAGAUAUCAGGAGGAACACCGAUGGCGAAGGCAGGUCACUGGGCCGCAACUGACGCUGGAGGAGCGAAAGCAUGGGGAGCGAACAGG
rnacentral:rRNA from 1 species